rnacentral:rRNA from 1 species
GACGAACGCUGGCGGCGUGCUUAACACAUGCAAGUCGAACGGUGAGCCUCUUCGGAGGGGAUCAGUGGCGAACGGGUGCGGAACACGUGGACAACCUGCACCCGGCUCUGGGAUAAGGCUAAGAAAUGGGGGCUAAUACCGGUAGUGGACCGCUUCCCGCAUGGGUGGUUGUGGGAUGGGUUGCCGGGGGGGGAUGGGCCCGCGGCCUAUCAGCUUGUUGGUGGGGUAGUGGCGUACCAAGGCGAUGACGGGUAGCCGGCCUGGGAGGGUGACCGGCCACACUGGGACUGAGACACGGCCCAGACUCCUACGGGAGGCAGCAGUGGGGAAUAUUGCGCAAUGGGCGGAAGCCUGACGCAGCGACGCCGCGUGGGGGAUGACGGCCUUCGGGUUGUAAACCGCUUUCACCAGGGACGAAGCGCGAGUGACGGUAACUGGAGAAGAAGCACCGGCUAACUACGUG